GAAUUGAUCCGGGAGUUGAAGAGGGCUGCAAAGGUGGGAAGUGAAGUCAGUGCCUCAGUUGCUGAUCAGUGUGUGUUCUGUGUCCAAUUCUUUUAUCACCAAAAAAGAGAAGAAAUAUUGCAGUGAAUGAAGAUUCCUCUGCAUUUUAGCACUGCUUUUUCAACUGUAGUUGGCUUUUGAAUGAGGAUGACAAUGGAAGAGAUGAAGAACGAAGCUGAGACCACAUCCAUGGUUUCUACGACCCUCUCUGCAGUCAUGUAUCCUGUGUUUAAUGAGCUAGAACGAGUAAAUCUGUCUGCAGCCCAGACACUGAGAGCCGCUUUCAUUAAGACUGAAAAAGAAAAUCCAGGUCUUACACAAGACAUCAUUAUGAAUAUUUUAGAGGAAAAAAGUGUAGAAGUUAACUUCAUGGAGUCCCUUCUUCAUAUGGCAGCUGAUGAUAUAGAAGAGUAUAUGACUGAGUGGCCAGAGCCAGAAUUCCAAGACCUAAAUGAAAAGGCACGAGCACUUAACAAAUUCUCAGUAAGAUCCCAGAUGAGAUCAAUGACAGAGUGAGGUUUCUGCAGACAAUCAAGGAUAUAGCUAGUGCAAUAAAAGAACUUCUCGAUACGGUGAAUAAUGUCUUCAAGAAAUAUCAAUACCAGAACCGCAGGGCACUUGAAUACAAAAAGAAAGAAUUUGUAAAGUACUCCAAAAGUUUCAGUGAUACUCUGAAAAUGUAUUUUAAAGAUGGCAAGGCAAUAAAUGUGUUCAUAAGUGCCAACCGACUAAUUCAUCAAACCAACUUAAUACUUCAGACCUUCAAAACUGUGGCCUCAAAGUUGUAUAUGUUAAGAGGUACUUCUCAGUGGCAGUACUGAACUGCCUUUAUCUGUAAAUUUUAAAGUUUGACUGUAUAAAUUAUCAGUCCCUCCUGAAGGGAUCCAAUCCAGGACGCUGAAUGGGAUUAUUGCCAUCUUACACCAUAUUUUUGUAAAAUGUAGCUUAAUCAUAAUCUCACACUGAAGAUUUUGCAUCACUUUUGCUAUUAUCAUUCUUUUAAGAAUUAUAAGCCAAAAGAAUUUACGCCUGAAUGUGUCAUUAUAUAACAUUCCUUAAAAGAAUUGUAAAUAUUGGUGUUUGUUUCUGACAUUUUAACUUGAAAGCGAUACGCUGCAAGAUAAUGUAUUUAACAAUAUUUGGUGGCAAAUAUUCAAUAAACAGUUUACAUCUGUUAAACAUUU